CAUCUCAGGCUGAAGGGGCUGCAUUUGACAAAAAGCAAGAACAAACUCAAGGUAUGUCAGGCGGGUGAUGAAAUAUCCAAAAGAGUCGUUUGGGGGGGAUGUCACUGCGCUGUGAAAGGUUCUGUCUGUAGUAAUUCAUCGCACAGAGAUUUUCAUUUGAUCUAGAAGUAGGACUUUGGUCCUGAUAAGGCCAAGCGAGGAGAGACGUCUGGCUGAAAAAUCUACAUCAGAGACAUGUGAGAGGCUUUCAACCAGAACAUGAGGAGAAAGAGAGGAUCUUCACCUGGUGUAGACGCCGUUCUUCCGACAGAAAGAGUUUUUCACUGACAGCCGUCGGUUGUUGAGCUCCAGAGCGGGGAAGCGGCCUUCGUCGAGGCUGACCAUGUCCCCGUGGGUCAGAGCAUUGCAAUUAGAGUUGUUACCUGGACACACGUAGAGACACACUGUGUGACCACAGGCAAGGGGAAACAGUCAGCUGGCCGAAGCCGUCUCCGCCUGCAGCCUUGUGGCAGACAGACGGCUACAAGACUGGGAUUGAUUCUCACAUCUAACUCUCAGCAAGGAGGCAGACAAAACCGCCUCCAAAAGAAUCUCAAGUAUUUCUUCUAAAUAGAUUAGUUUGAAGGAAAACAUCCAGCCUGCUUAGAUUGUGAAAU